GACGAACGCUGGCGGCGUGCCUAAUACAUGCAAGUAGAACGCUGAAGGGAGAGCUUGCUCUUCUGGAUGAGUUGCGAACGGGUGAGUAACGCGUAGGUAACCUGCCUGGUAGCGGGGGAUAACUAUUGGAAACGAUAGCUAAUACCGCAUAACAUUGAUUAUUGCAUGAUAGUCAAUUGAAAGGUGCAAAUGCACCACUACCAGAUGGACCUGCGUUGUAUUAGCUAGUUGGUGGGGUAACGGCUCACCAAGGCGACGAUACAUAGCCGACCUGAGAGGGUGAUCGGCCACACUGGGACUGAGACACGGCCCAGACUCCUACGGGAGGCAGCAGUAGGGAAUCUUCGGCAAUGGACGGAAGUCUGACCGAGCAACGCCGCGUGAGUGAAGAAGGUUUUCGGAUCGUAAAGCUCUGUUGUAAGAGAAGAACGAGUGUGAGAGUGGA
rnacentral:rRNA from 1 species